rnacentral:lncRNA from 1 species
CAAAAACUCUGGCCAACGCUAACUUUGACAAUUUAGCAAAUUUGUCUCUCACACACCAAUGGCAGCGACACCAAGAUGGUAUCGAACGUUAACGCAUUGACCAACUUCGUAAAUCGAAGAUCUAGACCCACUAAGACGUUUCGAUCUCUGAACCUACGAGCUUAAACGGAUCCAAAAACCUUGCAAAGCAACAUGGCUAUGGAGAAUUCAGAUUCAUUUAUAAGUGCAGACCAUUGGCUGAUGGUAAUAUGGGUCGAAUGAUUGUGGGAACAUUUCACUACCAGAAAAUGAAGAUGACAAGAAUGAUUGGUUAUCACCAGGUGGUGGUGACAACUGUAGUUUAGCGGUAGAGAAGAGGUGAUGGUGAUGAAGAGGAGUUUGAGUGCUAAUGAAGUGUGCGAAUGUUGUAAAGGG